rnacentral:tRNA from 1 species
GCGCCAGUGGCGGAAUGGUAGACGCGCUAGCUUGAGGGGCUAGUCCUAACUGUUUGGGGUGGAGGUUCAAGUCCUCUCUGGCGCACCA